UGCAUUUGAAGCCCAUGAGGAUGAGAACCUCCGGGGACGGGGAGGUUCGACUCGAGCGAAGCGAGAGAACGUUGCGCCAGCAACGGCCCGCAGGGCGAGCCACGAAGUGGCGAGUAAUCCUCUAUCACCGACCA
rnacentral:sRNA from 1 species